UCCGGGUUGGACCCGGCGGUCCCGACAGCCAUGCACCACCUGCAUGGGGCCCCGAAGGACACCAUAUCUCUAUGGCUUUUCCCCACAUGUCAAGCCCAGGUAAGGUUCUUCGCGUUGCCUCGAAUUAAGCAACAUGCUCCGCCGCUUGUGCGGGCCCCCGUCAAUUCCUUUGAGUUUUAGCCUUGCGGCCGUACUCCCCAGGCGGGGCACUUAAUGCGUUAGCUACGGCACAGGACCCGUUGACGAGGUCCCACACCUAGUGCCCAACGUUUACGGCGUGGACUAC
rnacentral:misc_RNA from 1 species